rnacentral:rRNA from 1 species
CCUACGGGUGGCAGCAGUGAGGAAUAUUGGUCAAUGGGCGAGAGCCUGAACCAGCCAAGUCGCGUGAGGGAAGACUGUCCUACGGAUUGUAAACCUCUUUUAUCAGGGAGAAAGGAGCGCCACGAAUGGUUCGUCGUGAGUACCUGAAGAAAAAGCAUCGGCUAACUCCGUGCCAGCAGCCGCGGUAAUACGGAGGAUGCGAGCGUUAUCCGGAUUUAUUGGGGUUACAGGGUGCGCAGGCGGAAGCGGCAGUUCGGCGGUAAAGUUUCGGGCCCAAACCUAACCGGGCCGUUGAAACUGGUCGUCUAGAGUGGGGGAGAAGUAUGCGGAAUGCGUGGUGUAGCGGUGAAAUGCAUAGAUAUCACGCAGAACUCCGAUUGCGAAGGCAGCAUACCGGCGCCCAACUGACGCUCAUGCACGAAAGCGUGGGUAUCGAACAGGAUUAGAUACCCGGGUAGUC